AUAAUAUUACCUUUACAGUUUCCCCAUAAUUCUAUAUGUUUAGCUUUUAGAAAUCUGUCUUUCAAGUAUGGUAUUUUUCUUAAUUUGGAGUUAAUCAGCUAAAAUAGGUUCAUCCCUUUCAUUUCAUCAGUACCACAAAGUGACUGUCUGGGAGCCUGAGUUCUAAUGAGGCAGCCAUUCCAAACACGUACAGACAAAGCCGUGGUUUCCCUGGCAACGAGCACCAUGAAAAAGCUCUUAGCAUAGUUAUUCCCACCCUUACACAUGAGUCCUUUUCAUUUCAGUAAAGCUUCCUGUCAGAAUGCAUUCAUCAAUGUAAUUUACCAACGAAGUUUGAGAGAUUAAAUCCCUCUCCCCCCAAGAAUUAAAAAAUAAGAACUACAACUAAAGAGCAGCAGCGAUCCUGGACUUGUACAGGUGCUGCCAGAGGAUGCUUCAAAGGAAGUGAAGGACAUCAUAAGAUCCCUGAAUUCAGUUAACAUCACUUUGAACGUGAGAUUAAUUUUUAGUUGAUUUUUAUCUGAGGACAUAGAAGGUAGAUGUAUCAGGAGGAGGGGUUAAAAUCAGAAGAGGAAAAGGGUAAAUAAAUCUAUGUGAAGAUCUACCACACUUCAUAUUGGCUGGGAACUGAUGGACGUGUAUGCGUUGAGGUAGCAUGGAGGCAUAACAUACAACAUGUGAAGACUGUCGGUGAACUUCCUGUGACUUUGUCCUGUGUGGGUUGGAGUUGCUUGGAGCCACAGCAAUACAGAAGUAUUUUGGGAAGAACCAGAAUCUACCUAGAACUCAACCAUCAGAUACAAAGAGUUCCCCAGCUUGGAUAAAUCAUUUCUCCUUAAAAAUCCUGCCAAAUUUAUGGAGGGAUUGUAAAUUUGAAUAUCGACUACUGAAUAAAUUAG
rnacentral:lncRNA from 1 species